UUCAAUAUCAUCUUAGAGCUCUUUGAUCGAUCUUUGAUCAAUAUCUUUGACUCAUUUGAUGCUCGAUGAAAUCUUCCAAACACAGUAAUCCAUGCGGUUAUGGAAAACCAAUUUGACAAUGCCACCGUUUGGAAAUGGUUUUGAAGGGCAAACGGCAAACGAAAGUUUUCCAGCAUGUUACAACAGUGAACACAGGAUACGAUGUACGUGCUACCCAAAGCUGCGCGUUCUACUUGAAAUUAAAUGGAAGCCAGUCCUAGGGCCCCUCAGCUGGACAUUCUAUAUAUUUAUUUUUAAACUUGAUUCUUUGUGGUUCGUUUUUUUAGAUGGAUUGAAGCUAUGUUCUAAUAAAAUAUUCUUUAAAAGUCCAAAUCUG
rnacentral:lncRNA from 1 species